rnacentral:rRNA from 1 species
UGGAUUAGGCAUGCAAGUCGUACGUCCACUCUUACUUCGGUUCGGGUGGAGUGGCGAAAGGGUGAGUAAUGCAUAGACAACCCACCCCUGGCUCUGGGACAACUGGGAGAAAUUCCAGCUAAUACCGGAUAGGCUCGGACGGUCGCAUGGCUGGCCGAGUAAAGGAGGCCUCUCAACGAUGCUUCCAGCUGAGGACGGGUCUAUGUCCUAUCAGCUAGUUGGUAGGGUAAUGGCCUACCAAGGCUUAGACGGGUAGCCGACCUGAGAGGGUGACCGGCCACACUGGGACUGAGAUACUGCCCAGACUCCUACGGGAGGCUGCAGUCGAGGAUCUUCCGCAAUGGGGGCAACCCUGACGGAGCGACGCCGCGUGCGGGAUGAAGGCCUUCGGGUUGUAAACCGC